AAAUUGAAGAGUUUGAUCAUGGCUCAGAUUGAACGCUGGCGGCAGGCCUAACACAUGCAAGUCGAACGGUAACAGGAAGCAGCUUGCUGCUUUGCUGACGAGUGGCGGACGGGUGAGUAAUGUCUGGGAAACUGCCUGAUGGAGGGGGAUAACUACUGGAAACGGUGGCUAAUACCGCAUAACGUCGCAAGACCAAAGAGGGGGACCUUCGGGCCUCUUGCCAUCAGAUGUGCCCAGAUGGGAUUAGCUUGUUGGUGAGGUAACGGCUCACCAAGGCGACGAUCCCUAGCUGGUCUGAGAGGAUGACCAGCCACACUGGAACUGAGACACGGUCCAGACUCCUACGGGAGGCAGCAGUGGGGAAUAUUGCACAAUGGGCGCAAGCCUGAUGCAGCCAUGCCGCGUGUAUGAAGAAGGCCUUCGGGUUGUAAAGUACUUUCAGCGGGGAGGAAGGUGUUGUGGUUAAUAACCGCAGCAAUUGACGUUACCCGCAGAAGAAGCACCGGCUAACUCCGUGCCAGCAGCCGCGGUAAUACGGAGGGUGCAAGCGUUAAUCGGAAUUACUGGGCGUAAAGCGCACGCAGGCGGUCUGUCAAGUCGGAUGUGAAAUCCCCGGGCUCAACCUGGGAACUGCAUUCGAAACUGGCAGGCUUGAGUCUUGUAGAGGGGGGUAGAAUUCCAGGUGUAGCGGUGAAAUGCGUAGAGAUCUGGAGGAAUACCGGUGGCGAAGGCGGCCCCCUGGACAAAGACUGACGCUCAGGUGCGAAAGCGUGGGGAGCAAACAGGAUUAGAUACCCUGGUAGUCCACGCCGUAAACGAUGUCUACUUGGAGGUUGUGCCCUUGAGGCGUGGCUUCCGGAGCUAACGCGUUAAGUAGACCGCCUGGGGAGUACGGCCGCAAGGUUAAAACUCAAAUGAAUUGACGGGGGCCCGCACAAGCGGUGGAGCAUGUGGUUUAAUUCGAUGCAACGCGAAGAACCUUACCUGGUCUUGACAUCCACAGAACUUUCCAGAGAUGGAUUGGUGCCUUCGGGAACUGUGAGACAGGUGCUGCAUGGCUGUCGUCAGCUCGUGUUGUGAAAUGUUGGGUUAAGUCCCGCAACGAGCGCAACCCUUAUCCUUUGUUGCCAGCGGUCAGGCCGGGAACUCAAAGGAGACUGCCAGUGAUAAACUGGAGGAAGGUGGGGAUGACGUCAAGUCAUCAUGGCCCUUACGACCAGGGCUACACACGUGCUACAAUGGCGCAUACAAAGAGAAGCGACCUCGCGAGAGCAAGCGGACCUCAUAAAGUGCGUCGUAGUCCGGAUUGGAGUCUGCAACUCGACUCCAUGAAGUCGGAAUCGCUAGUAAUCGUGGAUCAGAAUGCCACGGUGAAUACGUUCCCGGGCCUUGUACACACCGCCCGUCACACCAUGGGAGUGGGUUGCAAAAGAAGUAGGUAGCUUAACCUUCGGGAGGGCGCUUACCACUUUGUGAUUCAUGACUGGGGUGAAGUCGUAACAAGGUAACCGUAGGGGAACCUGC
rnacentral:rRNA from 1 species